rnacentral:rRNA from 1 species
ACUCAAGAAAAGGAUUUUAGUCCAACCUAAAGCUUUAACUUAUUUGCAAAAAUUUUCCUCAGGCUUUAGAGCAAUUCAAAUAAGGUACAGCCUAUUUGAAACAGGAUACAACCUCAAUUGAUGGGUAAUAAACCUUCUUGCUCAACUAAGUAGGCCUAAAAGCAGCCACCUUUAAAAAAGCGUCAAAGCUUGAUUGAAAAAUCAAAUUAAUUCCUCUAAUCUCUUCUAACCCUCUCUUUAUAUUGAGUAAUUCUAUAUCCCUAUAGAACAUAUUAUGUUAAAACUAGUAACAAGAAGCUAAACCUUCUCUUAAGUGUAUGUGUACACCAGAUAGGAUAAACCACUGGUAAUUAACGUCCAUGAAACCCCAUUAGUAACUUUUUCCCAAGAAAACCCUAAUUACCUUCCACGUUAACCUGACACAAGAACACCACAAGAAAGAUUAAAAGAAAAAGAAGGAACUCGGCAAAUUUUAACCCCGCCUGUUUACCAAAAACAUCGCCUCUUGAGUAAAAAUAAGAGGUCUAGCCUGCCCAGUGACCACAGUUCAACGGCCGCGGUAUCCUAACCGUGCGAAGGUAGCGUAAUCACUUGUUCUUUAAAUGAGGACUAGUAUGAAUGGCAUCACGAGGGUUAUACUGUCUCCUUUUUCCAAUCAGUGAAACUAUUCUCCCCGUGAAGAAACGGGGAUACUUCUAUAAGACGAGAAGACCCUAUGGAGCUUUAAAUUUUAUUCCAAUUGCUUACUUAUACAGCCUGUACCAACUUCUUAUACUCAACUAAGCAUAAUGCUAAUAAAUUUUAGGUUGGGGUGACCGCGGAGCAUAAAAAAACCUCCGCACAGAGCAAGCCUUAAGCCUUGAACAAAGAGCUACAACUCCAAGUACUAACACAUUAACAUCCAUUGACCCAAUACCCUUGAUCAACGAACCAAGUUACCCUAGGGAUAACAGCGCAAUCUACUUUAAGAGCCCCUAUCGACAAGUAGGUUUACGACCUCGAUGUUGGAUCAGGGUAUCCCAGUGGUGCAGCCGCUACUAAAGGUUCGUUUGUUCAACGAUUAAAACCCU